rnacentral:rRNA from 1 species
CAAACCAAAGCUGGCGACCGGUGCACGGGUGAGUAACACGUAUCCAACCUGCCUCAUACUCGGGGAUAGCCUUUCGAAAGAAAGAUUAAUAUCCGAUAGCAUAUAUUUCCCGCAUGGGUUUUAUAUUAAAGAAAUUCGGUAUGAGAUGGGGAUGCGUUCCAUUAGUUUGUUGGGGGGGUAACGGCCCACCAAGACUACGAUGGAUAGGGGUUCUGAGAGGAAGGUCCCCCACAUUGGAACUGAGACACGGUCCAA